ACCUGAGUGGCUCAGUCGGUUGAGCAUCUGAUUCCAGCUCAGGUCACGAUCACACAGUUUGUGAGUUCGAGCCCCGCAUCGGGCU
rnacentral:tRNA from 1 species